GAGUCCCUGCUGCUCCAGCAGGAAAGCCCCUCAUCCUGAUGGUGAUGUGGUGGGAGUCCCCUUCCAACACCACCCUCCCCCGGGCUGGAGGAUCCAGAGGAACACCCUCUCCCAGAAUGUAUUCUUCUUGAAACAACAGACACACACAGGGUUGGGAGGCAGAGGAGACCUGACGCCAGCCUGUGUUGGUAGAUAAGCUGGUGUUCCUGUUACUCUCCAGAGCUGCCAGGCUGUGGGAGAAAACAAUAAGUGUCUGCUCUAAUCAGACGUCAUGGCUCACAGCGAGACACAGCUGUUAUCAGUCGUGCGCUGACGUGGACCACGGCCCAGUGGGAUGAUCUCUGCCUGUAAGUACCCGUGACUCACAUGGUCAACGUGUGCGCGGAAGAAGGACAGGAUGCCGAGUGCAUUCAUUCAUUCAUUCUUUAUUUGGUGUAUGAGGUUUGAGGUCGUCAUUUCAAGAAUGAACUGCCAGUUGGACCGCCAUUGGCCUGCAGAGUCAUUUCACACUCGCCCUCACUACGCAGAGGACUGCAGUGACUCAGCAAGCAGAGGUUCCCAGACGCUGAUUAACAAGAGUUCAAAACCUUCCUGGAAGGAAGACGCGAGCCGUUCUUCAGCCAACCAGAGCUCUGAGCUCAGAGGGGAAGUCGGAGUUUCUUAGAGCUGAACGACCUCGUCCAUAUCUGCUGCCAAACCCUGACCACAGCGGGAACAGAGUCCACCACACAGGCUAUGUUUAGAGAUUGAACAACAGUGGACAGUCUC